CGGUAAGCAAAGUAUUGGGCCG
rnacentral:siRNA from 1 species